GAACGUAAGGAGGUGUAACCGGGACAACCGGUGGUUUAGGGAUGUAGGGUGGUGUAACUGGGACGACUGGUGGUUUAGGGAUGUAAGGAGGAAUAACCGGAACAACAGGUGGUUUAGGGAUAUAGGGUGGUGUGACAACAGGAGGCUUAGGAAUGUAAGGUGGUGUGACAACUGGUGGAUUGGGGACAUAUGGUGGUUUUGGGACAUAGGGGGGUGGUUUGACAACUGGAGGUAGUGGAACAUAAGGAGGAUGUGGGUGAAGUGGUGGCUUAGGGUGAGGUUUUGGGACAUAGGGGGGGUGUGGAUGCACUGGUGGCUUAGGGUAGUGAGGAG
rnacentral:lncRNA from 1 species